ensembl:lncRNA
GUCCGCAUACACACUCACGCCCCGGGGGCGCGGCCGCCACGUGGGGAGUGGCGCGGGGGUGGUACUGGGACCGCACCCCCUCUCGUCCUGGCUGCGUGGGCCCGCUUUCCCCGGUCUCUGGAGACUCCGAGCCCGGCGGGUCCCACGCUCCACGCGAGCAGAAUUCCCGCAGGUCUCCCGCCCGGGUGGCCAGAGGCGGUGGCGGGGAUGGCGGGCUCCGGGAGGCGCUCCGGCUCCGAGAAGCCGCUUAGCCCCGCGCUCCUCCCUCCGCAGUGCCGCCGCCGGCGGGCCGGGAUUCCCGCGGGUCUCGGCGGCCGCGAGCUGCAGGCGGCGCGGGUCCCCGGCUCGGUUGGUCACCUUGCCCGCCUCGCCUCCCACGGCUUCCAGCGGGCGCGGAGCUCUCCUCUGCGCGCCUCCCCGGCCCGUCUCGGUUUCCCUUCUUCGUCCUCUAGACCAUCCAGCGCAACUCCGUCGACCUCCGCGGCCCUGAGAGAGCAUCCGGCGCGGGCAGAGGCGUACCGGCCCGACCUCACGCCUCUCAUGGACUCUUCUCCAGGGUACCAUGGCCCAGGGAGUUCCUAGAAAACAGAAGGGACCCAGAAUCCUGACCUCGCCUUCUGUGGGACAGCAUGAGAUGUGGAGAUUGUGAGCUUGGAGAUCCAGCAUCUUUGUGAUCCUGGGAAAGUCCUUUGCCCUCUCUGGCCUGUUUCCUCCUGUGCAAAGGAAAGCAGUGGGCUUCACUGGUCCCCAGGAUUCCUUCACACUGAUUUCCCCACUGCGCCCCCCCACCUCGUCCCCCAACUCUGAGCCUUGCAGCAUCUUCUCAUCUUGAUCCUCUCCUGCCAUUUUUAGCCUCUGGGCAGAGACUCUGGCCAUGGUGCUGAAGAAGCCACAGCUUCUACAGCGGCUUGGAGACGAGCAAGGUAGCCAUCUAAGGAUUUGCGAGGGCAGAGGAAACUACCUGAAUUGAGCACCUACUAUGUGCCAGUCUCUUUGCCAUUCCUGUCGCGUGCUUUGUCACCUUGACUGAUGGAAGUAUACCCUUGGAGGAAGAGAUCUUCAGGGGGAAACAGUUUCAGGAGCUGUGGGUCCCAUACCUUCCAGGGAGCAGAAAGCUAUUCUCUUGACUUUGGAUUUCAAGUAGCCAUGGUUCCCAGAGAUGGUCCUGGGACAAUUAAGGGCAGCUGAGAAAACAGUGACAUGCAGAAAUGGUUGAUAAAGCUGUGAAGGAACGUCUGUUGGCAUUGGUUCUGAGCCUGCGGCCAGAGAUGAAUGAUUGAAACGCCAGGCUUGUUAAAGCGAGAGCACGUUUGAUUUCUCUGCCCUGCACUGCAUGCGAUUUCGCUGGAGGGAAGUUAGCAAUCAGCUAAUUGACAUUGAAUUAACCAUGAAACUCAGCCUGUGCCUUCUCUCUGAAUCGCUCUCCAGCAAGACUUUAUCAAGGCUUUGAAUUAUUGAUUAUUACUUAUAGCUCUGAUGGGAUGAGAAACUGAGUCUCCAGGGAGUUAAGUGACUCACCCAAGACCCUCGGAGCUGGGAUUCACGCCUGGAUCUGCUUGGCCCUUUCUGCUGUAUCACGUGGCUCUCCCAGACACUGGACAGGAUCUUUUAUGACUCUUGACGACACAAUGGAUGGUAUGAGGGCACAGAAGGGGCGCCCAUCUGAAGGACAACCAUGGGAUGUUCUUAUAAGUGGGAACAGGUCAGUCUGUAAAGGUCUUUAGAGGCUGCUGUGGGGCUCUGCCUGCUCCCCAGUUCUGACCAGUAUAUGCCAAGGACCAGAAGAAGAUGCAGAGCGUGCAGGCCUUUAACAGUAGGAGGUAGGGAGGACAGAGAAAAAGGACAGAGAAAAGCUCAGAUAGCAGGAUCAGGGUCUAGAGAGAUGUCAACAGACUGGGGUGAAGAGGUGAACUUAGCAGGAUGAAAUGUCAUGGGGAUAAAUGCUGGGGCCCAUCUUGCCGACAGGAAAAAAAAUUGUAGAGAGGAAUAGCAGUUUAUGAGAAAGGGAUUUAGGAGUUCAGGGGUCAGUAGGUUCCGUAUGAGUCAGUGGGCUACAUUAAUAGAGGUAUGGGGUUUGAGUCAGGGGAGGUGACCACCAGUCUGAUCCAGCCUGCUCUUUGUCUUGGGGCAGUCUCUCUUGGGUAUAUCUGAAGGUCAUGUGCUGGUAUCUGCUUUUUCAGUUCUUCUCCUUUUUUUGAGGGGGUAGGGAUAGAACCCUUCUGGAGUUCAAUCCUUGGAAUCCAGAGCAGCCCUCUAGAACGACACCUUUGAAAGUGGAAAAGAAGCUGCAGAUUUUCUGAACACUUUAUGAACAGCAAGUCCUGGGUCUGAUCUUUAUGCCAAACCUCCCUCGUUUGGCGAGAGGAAAGUUCUAGUCCCUGAAUAUUGUGGAACAGGGAGGGGUCCAGGUUUCCUUGGCUACUGGCCAGGUGUGUCCACUGCUUUUCCAGCUGCCUGCCUUCCUCCGUUCUUGGAGCCCUGAGCCCAGUGGUCAGCGGUUUGCCGGAGCCUGAUGGGGCUGGUUCCUCCCAUGCUGGAGGCGGGCAGGAACGAGAACCUUGUGGUUGCUCAUGUCAGGGCUGGAUCCCUGCUCAAGCUGGAGUGUCACCUGCCAAGCUGAAUUCGGCACAGGAAGCGCCUGGCGGGGAGAUGUACUGUUUAGAGGUUCUGUUCCACUCUGAAAUGCACUUCUUCUGGCAGCUGCAGUGAAGUGAAGCUGUUGCACUUCCUUCUCUCUUGCCAGAAUCACAGCCACUUUUUCCUGAGAAAGAAACAGGGCUGCAGACAGUUUGACUCAUUAAAUACUUCUUUUCCUCUUAAAUCUGAUUUUGUAAUUUUCUUUUUUUUUGCAUGAAUGGAAAAUCCAAACGAAUGAUAUUGAAAUAAACAAGGC